rnacentral:rRNA from 1 species
UACAGAGGUCCCAAGCGUUGUUCGGAUUCAUUGGGCGUAAAGGGCGCGUAGGCGGUCAGCACAAGUCAGUUGUGAAAUCUCCGGGCUUAACUCGGAAAGGUCAACUGAUACUGUGCGACUAGAGUGCGGAAGGGGCAACUGGAAUUCUCGGUGUAGCGGUGAAAUGCGUAGAUAUCGAGAGGAACACCUGCGGCGAAGGCGGGUUGCUGGGCCGACACUGACGCUGAUGCGCGAAAGCCAGGGGAGCGAACGGG